ACCUUUUACACUUCGACAUUUCUUAGCCUUCUUAGCUCUUGAACUGGUUUCUAUAGUUUUUUCUUGACUCGUUUCAGUUACUUCUUCUUUUUCCUCGUUGCUUUCUUAUCGCUCUAUGAUAAUACAAAGGGUCUAUCCACAAUUAACCCCAAAAUAUUCAUUUUACUAUUGUCACGUUUCCAAUUUUAUUAUUCUUCUCUUUCCUUUUAUAAAUGAAUAAAGUGGAGAGCUCCCAGCCUUCAUGAGUGGCUAGGGAGUUCCUUUCAUUGUUUGGUUGGAUUCGAAUUUGUGAGGCAGGUAGUCUGGAAGCUGAUGUGCAAAGCCAUUUCCGAGUCAUUGAUUCAUAUAACAAAGGACCAGCUGAGCUAUAUCCGCAAGCCCUGAGCAAUAGCUGACAUGCAUUCUUUCAAGUUAUUUGUAUUGUAUUUAACAUUUAUAUGGUUAAUUUUUUCAAGAUCAAUUUAGAUGAACUCGCUAUUCUGUCAAAUGUACCCUAGCUCAUCCACAAGUUCCACAAAAUGCACACACAGUCUAUAUUCAGACUAAGCCGCAAAAUGCUUACAGGGUUUUUGUUUCUUGUAUUUUACAUAGGAGGCAGGUAGUCUGGAAGUCUUUGGAGCUGUCCAAACCAUGAAAUACUAACAUCUUCUCUUUUAUUGUUCCCUAGAGAUGUAGUAUUAAAGUUUCAAUAUUGAGGUCUCUUUGGUUACCAGGUGUGCUUGACAGAGCCAGGUCAGCAAUGGAGUGCUAGAUAAGACAACUAAAUCAUAAGAUCAAAUACUAUUGGUUGCUUAAUUUUGAAUUCAGUUUGUUAUUUCUUGCAAGUUUCCAAAUUAGACGGAGGCUAUGUUAACGCGUUUGAAUAAUAUGAGAUUGGUCAAAUCUGUUUGAAGUAUUAUUAAUUAGUUUUGAUGGAUUCAGGGUCUUGUUAAGCUGCUACGAGUAAGCUGGAAUUUUUGAUUAAAUUGUGGCACAAAAUAUUUGAUUGCAUAACAUGUAUGUAGAUAUGAUGUUUAACCAUAAUGACAUUUUAUUUUUGUUGAUAUUUUUUUGUCAAAUCUUUUGCAGAAAAUGGUUAUUUGUAGUUCAAAAAAUGUUAAUGAAAGUCCCUUACUUCCAUGCAGGAAUUGUCAUUUGAAUAAAAAGAAAAAGGGCUUGUUUGAUGGAGACCCUUAGCAAUCUGUAGCCACCUAUUUUACUCAAAUGGAAGGUUUUGAUGCAGGUGGAUUAUUUCCUUUAUGUUAAGCUAUUUAUUUUGAAUGAUUGCAAUAUCUUUUUUUCCCCAAUUUUAUUAUUUCAUGCUAUUUCAUGCUAUCGCAUUAGCUUUGUACUUGUAAACUCAUACAUUUAUUACCAAGGAUCUUUCUCCCCAGCAGAUAAACAUGCACAGAUGCCCAACAUCGAACUCAUCCGAACACCUGAUAAUCUAGAUCACCAAUGGCCCAACUUAUAUGUGCAUGCCCAGUGCUUUUUGUAUACAUGCAGUACAUUUAUUAUGUGAAAUAUACAAAUGGUUACAUGUUUGGGAGCAUCUAACGAUACACAAGAUAUCACAAGCUGUACAUGUUUGGGAGCAUCUAACUAUACAAAUGGUUACAUGAGGGGGAUUCUCUAUAUCCGUUCCUUGCCGCUUACUCGCAGCCGCAAUGGGCGACGGCAAUCACUGGAGUUUUUGUAGUAGUCUUGAUGUCGCUAUCCACGCACCUCUUGUUUCAACACCUCUCCGCUUACAAGAAUCCUAAGGAGCAGAAGUUUCUGGUUGGUGUUAUCUUGAUGGUCCCUUGCUAUGCCAUUGAAUCGGUACAGAAAUGAUGA